GUUUAGUCCCGCAACGAGCGCAACCCUUAUAUUUAGUUGCCAUCAUUAAGUUGGGCACUCUAGAUAGACUGCCACAGAUAAUGUGGAGGAAGGUGGGGAUGACGUCAAAUCAUCAUGCCCCUUACGACCUGGGCUACACACGUGCUACAAUGGGAAGAACAACGAGUAGCGAGCUUGUGAAAGUAAGCGGAUCUCUAAAAGCUUCUCUCAGUUCGGAUUGUAGGCUGCAACUCGCCUACAUGAAGUCGGAAUCGCUAGUAAUCGCGAAUCAGCACGUCGCGGUGAAUACGUUCCCGGGCCUUGUACACACCGCCCGUCACACCACGAGAGUUUGUAGUACCCGAAGCCGGUGAGACAACCGCAAGGAGUCAGCCGUCUAAGGUAAGAUAGAUGAUUGGGGUGAAGUCGUAACAAGGUAGCCGUAUCGGAAGGUGCGGCUGGAUCACCUCCUUUCU
rnacentral:rRNA from 1 species